CGACUCCACGAAGUUGGAUUCGCUAGUAAUCGCGCAUCAGCCAUGGCGCGGUGAAUACGUUCCCGGGCCUUGUACACACCGCCCGUCAAGCCAUGGGAGCCGGGGGCGCCUGAAGUCCGGGACCGCGAGGACCGGCCUAGGGCGAAACUGGUAACUGGGGCUAAGUCGUAACAAGGUAGC
rnacentral:rRNA from 1 species